UUUUCAGAUUUUUCUUUUUUAUUAUUUUUGCCAAAUUAAAUCUAUCCAAAUAACUACCCCAUUAACUACCCAAACUGUCUUAGGCUUCGUUUGGGAUUGCGGGAAGAUUGUGUUACGUACGGUGAGAAAGUACUUUCCGUACGUAGCGGGGAGAUUGCGUUACGUACUUUCCGUACAUAAUAUUGCGUUCCGCAUAUCGCAAUGAGUCGGUUACAAUAUAUUUUUUAUAGUCCCAUCGGAGAACGCAGAAGCAUAUUCCUAUAUGCUUUUUUCUCAACUCUAUUUUAUCUAAUAGCGUUAGAUAGACCUCAAUGCCAAACUAAGCCUUAGUCAUAAAAAUAAUUCUAAAAAUGUGCUAAGAUCCUCUAUGUCAUUUUCAAAUAGGUCCCUCGUCUUUUUUUUUUUUAUUNUAAAAAUCUUACAAAAUAUGAUAAUAUGACAUUAAAAUUUUAGAUCAAAGAUAUUGAUCUUGUUUUAUAUGGUAUAAAGAAUUUUUUAUCAAAAUUUUACGUGAUUUGGAUAUUUCUACAUCGUUAAAUUUGCAAACGGCUCACUACGGCCGUUAAAAUUAUUGAUUUUGAGCCCCUUCGAUCACUAGGUAAAUGAUAUUGAAAAAUAAUAAACUUUAUUUUCUAGGUACUUCAAAUACUCUAGAUCAAGUUUAACGGAGCUGAUCGACGAUUCGAAAGUCGCAACAUCGAAACGACCUGGAAGCACGGAAGGCUCCGUGCGUCCAAAAGCAUGGUAGCCUCACUCAAUUUCAAAUACCCCUUAUGUGGUUUCGUACUUUCUCACUUUAGUACCCUGUGGUUUAAAAUGUAUCAAGUUAGUACUUUGUGGUUUUAUUUUUGUAUCAAGUUAGUAUCCUAUUGUUUUAUUUUUUUUCUUUUUAUUAUCAAUUUCGGGAUAUUUUUUCGUUAAAUCAGUGACAAAGUUAAAACUAAUUAAAGGGUACUAAUAUAAAUAUUCGAUAAACCUAGGUAGGGUAUCUGAUAUUUUUUAUAUAUAAUUUAAUAAACUAUUAAACCACAGGAUACUAAAGUGAGAAAGUGCGAAACUACAGAGUACUAACUCGGUACACUUUAAACCACAGGGUACUAAAGUGAGAAAGUGCGAAACCAUAUGGUACUAACUUGAUACACUUUAAGCUACCAUAGGGUACUAAAGUGAGAAAGUGCGAAACCACGGAGGGUAUUUGAAGUUUUCCCCAAAAUUUAUG
rnacentral:lncRNA from 1 species